rnacentral:rRNA from 1 species
GCUACACAUGCAGUCGAGGGGUAGCAGGGAGCUUGCUCCGCUGACGACCGGCGAACGGGUGCGUAACGCGUAUAGAAUCUACCUCUUACUAAGGGAUAGCCCAGAGAAAUUUGGAUUAAUAUCUUAUAGUAUGUUAACUUGGCAUCAAGAUAACAUUAAAGGUUACGGUAAGAGAUGACUAUGCGUCCUAUUAGCUAGAUGGUGUGGUAACGGCACACCAUGGCAACGAUAGGUAGGGGCCCUGAGAGGGGGAUCCCCCACACUGGUACUGAGACACGGACCAGACUCCUACGGGAGGCAGCAGUGAGGAAUAUUGGACAAUGGAGGCAACUCUGAUCCAGCCAUGCCGCGUGCAGGAAGACUGCCCUAUGGGUUGUAAACUGCUUUUAUACAGGAAGAAACACUCUCACGUGUGAGAGCUUGACGGUACUGUAAGAAUAAGGAUCGGCUAACUCCGUGCCAGCAGCCGCGGUAAUACGGGAGGAUCCAGCGUUAUCCGGAAUCAUUGGGUUUAAAGGGUCCGUAGG